rnacentral:ncRNA from 1 species
GCCUAAAAAGUAAUGGAGGCGUUCAUCAAGGUCGGCUAGCUCCGGAUGGAAAUCGGAGCGAUAGCGUAAAGGCAAAAGCCGGCUUUACUGCAAGGCGGAU